rnacentral:rRNA from 1 species
GACGGAGGGUGCGAGCGUUAAUCGGAAUUACUGGGCGUAAAGGGCGCGUAGGCGGUGGGUUACGUCUGCCGUGAAAUCCCCGGGCUCAACCUGGGAAUGGCGGUGGAAACGGGCUGACUGGAGUAUGGGAGAGGGUGAUGGAAUUCCAGGUGUAGCGGUGAAAUGCGUAGAGAUCUGGAGGAACACCAGUGGCGAAGGCGGUCUCCUGGCCCAAUACUGGCGCUGAGGCGCGAAAGCGUGGGGAGCAAACAGG